UACGGACUGUGCAAACGUUAUUCGGAAUCACUGGGCUUAAAGAGUCCGUAGGCGGCAUGUUAGGUGAGGUGUGAAAUCCCCCGGCUCAACCGAGGAAUUGCGCUUCAAACCGGCGUGCUAGAGGAAGAUAGAGGUGGGCGGAACUGAUGGUGGAGCGGUGAAAUGCGUUGAUAUCAUCAGGAACACCGGAGGCGAAAGCGGCCCACUGGGUCUUUUCUGACGCUGAGGGACGAAAGCUAGGGGAGCGAACGGG
rnacentral:rRNA from 1 species